rnacentral:lncRNA from 1 species
GGGCUGAUUGGUGAUCGGGUUGAAGCUGAAGCUGAACUAGGAGCAGGGUUUGAAGCAGAAGUGGUCUUAGUUGCUAGUCUCUUUCGACGCACACUUUUCUCCAACGCUCGGACUGAUUUCUUCCUCUAUGGAAGCUUCAUCUUGGGAGCCAUUUGCAUAGGCAGGACUAACACAGAACUUAAGUGAGCAAAUGUGAGGGAGAGAUGAAGACUUUAUAGUGGAAAGAUAA